AAGCAAGGGCAUCCAAAAAUUAGAUGACGCAACUUGUAUUAAACGUUGGAAAUAAUAGUCAACGAUUCUCCAUGCCUAGCAAAUCCACUCCAUUUUGAAUAUGGCAUCGAACAAGUCGCUACAUU
rnacentral:snoRNA from 1 species